rnacentral:rRNA from 1 species
AUUGAACGCUGGCGGCAUGCUUUACACAUGCAAGCCGAACGGCAGCACGGGUGCUUGCACCUGGUGGCGAGUGGCGAACGGGUGAGUAAUGCAUCGGAACGUAUCCAAUAAUGGGGGAUAACGCACCGAAAGGUGUGCUAAUACCGCAUACGCCCUGAGGGGGAAAGUGGGGGACCGUAAGGCCUCACGUUAAUGGAGCGGCCGAUGCCUGAUUAGCUAGUUGGUGAGGUAAAGGCUCACCAAGGCGACGAUCAGUAGCUGGUCUGAGAGGACGACCAGCCACACUGGGACUGAGACACGGCCCAGACUCCUACGGGAGGCAGCAGUGGGGAAUUUUGGACAAUGGGCGCAAGCCUGAUCCAGCCAUGCCGCGUGAGUGAAGAAGGCCUUCGGGUUGUAAAGCUCUUUCGCAAGGAAAGAAAACUUAUCCCCUAAUACGGGAUGAGGAUGACGGUACCUUGAUAAGAAGCACCGGCUAACUACGUGCUAGCCGCCGCAGUAACAC